rnacentral:lncRNA from 1 species
GAUUAAGGUAAUAAUAUUCAAACACCUAAAGGACUAAGCAUGUGGAACAGUGGUCAUCCUGAGAAGUCAUCAAGCAGAAUUAGGACUAUUUUGUGGAGAUUUCUUAAAGUCAAAUUUGCAACCUGUAUAAGAGAGAAAUGAUAACAGCUGCUGAAGAUAAAAAUGUCACCUGCUUCAGAGAGGUAAUCCAUCAAGAGCAAACGGUCACACAAUGGAGAUUGUUAUGGGAUCACAAUAGCUUUGGAGAUGGUAUUGAGGAGAUUCUGGCACUCUGAGAGGUAUAAAUAAGCUCCUUUUUAAGGGUUCAUGUUUGCUAAGAAUCGGUAUCCCUUCCCUCAGAUUUGAACUACUUGUCACCAAAAAUCCCAGCCAUAGGAUUAGUUAUUUAUCUCAGUGAACUCUUUCUGGAGGUAGAGGGAUUUCCUGAUUUACAAGUAGAUCCACAGAUGAUAUUAACAGAAGAUUCGUGCUAAAUUUUCCAAAUUUACUAGAAUGUGCACUUAGGAAAUGUCAGUAGCAACAACAGGAAACAACCUUGAUCCAGAACCAAAGGUAAAGACAGGAUCACCUCAAAAGAAGACAAAUCUUUAAAGUCUACCCUAUCUCCUUUGUUUGAUCAAUGAAAGUAAGGGAAAAAAAAAAAAAACUAGCUCCACAAACCUAGCAUCCAGAUACUACUUUUUAUUUGUUUGUUUUUUUGGGCCUCCCAGAAGCAUAUGGAGUUCCCAGGCCAGGGAUCACAUCUGAGCCAAAGUCGCAACUGAAGCCACAGCAGCAGAUCCUUAACCCACUGUGCUAGGCUGGGGAUCAAACCUGCAUUCCAGUACUCCCAAAACACUGCCCAUCCCAUUGAGCCAGAGCAGGAACUCCCAGAUGUAAUUUUUAAUACCAUUCUGCAAUAAAAAGAACCAUGCGGGGCUCCAUGGAGAAAUAGUUGAUUCUAGGAUUGGCUCCGAAGCAUUUUGUAGUGUCAGAAAGUAAAAAGGGCUAAAAAAGUUGAUGAGUGCAUAUCAAAGAGGUGCAGAAGGCAAAUGAAAGUGCUCCCAAUGGCCAAAGCUGGAACAGUUUAAAUAACAAGAUUAAAUAAUAUUGCCUUAACCUAAAGUAUAAAAUAAAUAUCUGUUAGUCCAUUUGAUAAAAAACAAAUGAUUAAAUUAUUUAAUCGGGAGAAAAAGAGACAAACAUUUCAUGUAAAUGAAUUCCAAGUAGUAAACCUAGGUUGUAUUACUUUGUUCUCAAGGAGGGAAAGCAUAACUUUUCACUCCUUAGAUGUGGGGGUUCACACAUAGUGAUGUUUUCCACAGUGUACGGUAUGGAAAUGGGAGGUGGAAAGGAAUAAUUGUGCAGUGGAGAAAGCUCAUAAACCUUACUUCAGUGAGGUCAAUGAGUCCAACAUAAAUCGUGUUGAUAGCAUAUACACUUGAUAUGAUGUGAUGAAAAUGGCAGUUUACCUCUGCAAUCUUCCUCUUGUCUUUCCAUGAGAAAAACACCAGACAACUCUCAGUUUGAUGACAUAUAAAAUUCCUGACAAGGACUCCUGAAAAUUGUCAUGGUCACUUUCAAACCAAGGAAAAUCCGAGAAAUUGCCAUAGCCAAGAGGAGAAACAUCUAAACCAGCUAUAAUGCAAAAAAUAAAAAUUGGUAUAAAUGAAAAAAAAUGUAAUAUGGGGUUUGUAGCAGAAAAUGAUAGUAAAUAAAAAGUAAGGACAUCUAAACAAACACAAAACUUUAGUUAACAAUAAUGUAUCAAUAUCUUCUGAGGAUAACCAAUUAUCUAUUACUCAAUAAGAUAAAAAGACUGAAAGAGUUCAAGCUCAAACAAGUUGUCAGAGAGAGGUAAACGGUGUAGGAAUGAAGUCCAUGACAGCCAGGAAUUGAUCUGUUUUGUUCAGCAGAGUUGGUAAAAAAAAAUAUUUGUGUUAUGAAUAUAAAGAGUAUAUUCUCCUUGGCAUGUUUUUAGUCACAAAUUUUCCAAAGUAAUAAACUCUUGCUGUGUGUCACAUCAAGAAUGUUCUAAAAUAUUUAUGUUGCUUUGAUGGCACAGUUGAGGCGUGGGAUUCUGUGCUCCACAGAGUACUCUCUCCAUUCACAAAAAUGACUUAUGGAGCAAGGGGAUUCUGCUCUCUCACCUAACAUAAAAAUUCUUUAAGAAUACCUAUGGGCCCACUCUUAGGAGAUUGAUUAAAGCCACCAAGCCCAGAGGCCAAAGGCAGAGCUACAAAGAGCAUCAACAUGUAAUAAUAACUGCGUUUAUCCUUUUUGAGAAACUUUCCUUUAGCACAAGAGUGUGUGAUGAGGUCCGAGUGGCAGCUGAACAUAGACGACAUUAAUUAGGGCUCACCCCUAGCAGCAGAGAGCCCCACCCAAGGGAGUAAAAACUGAGGUCUAGGACCUGGAGGAUUACAGAGCACUGGCUACUGGGAAGUCAAAAGAAAGGGACUGGGAAAGUCUGUGGGAGCAGAAAUAGCAAGCUUGGGAAGGCAUCCCUUCCAGGGGUAAGGGAGGGGCUUAGCUUCCUGCUCUUGGCAUUUCACUCUUCUUCCUUUACAAGUUAUCUCUUACAUCCUCAGGGCCUUCUCUCUUCCUCCACAUCUCUUAUCUCUUUUCCCUGAAUUCUUGAGUAAAAAGUUUAAUGUUCUUUUUCAGCACUUUCUCUCCAAGUGAUUUAUUUCUUCUACAUUCUCUUGCAGUCAGUUUUCAAUGAAAGAUUCUAGUUUAUUUACUCCAAAGCCCUAGGAAGUGGCUGCUGCCAUAUCAAGUACCAGAGAUGAAGACUCUCAGACCACCAUUCACUAUGGUCCUUUCUCCAUGUAAGAGAUCAGGGAACUCAACUCUCUCUCUGCCACCUGGUCUGGGCCUAAGAAAGGGCAUAUGGGGGACCUCCUGGCAGGACUAAUUCCCACAACUGUAGUCAUCAUGUGAAUGGAUAGGCCCCCUCAAACCAGCUGCUCCAAACUACCAGCUCACCCACACAGAAAAGUUCCUCAAUGGGUACCUCCUUAUGGUAUUUUUUCCUGAAAAUUAAAAUGUCCUUUAAAGUAGUUCAGUAAAAAGGACAUUGAAUUCAUGUAUUUAUGACCUAGGCAGUGGGCUGCCUCAAAUUCUGGCACCACAAAUUCCCAGUAUUCUAUUAUUUAUGAUUUUUAUUUUUUCCCAUUAUAGCUGGUUUACAGUGUUCUGUCAAUUUUCUACUGCACAGCAUGGUGACCCAGUUACACAUACAUGUAUACAUUCUUUUUUCUCACAUUAUCAUGCUCCAUCAUAAGUGACCAGACAGUUUCCAGUGCUACACAGCAGGAUCUCAUUGCUAAUCCAUUCCAAAGGCAAUAGUCUGCAUCUAUUAACCCCAAGCAUGCCAUCUAUCUCACCCUGCUCCUCCCUUUUGGCAACCACAUGUCUAUUCUCCAUGUCCAUGAUUCUCUUUUCUGUGGAAAGUUCCAUAUGUGCCCUAUAUUAGAUUCCAGAUAUAAGUAAUGUCAUAUGGUAUCUACUUUUCUCUUUCUGACUUACUUCACUCAGUAUGAGAGUCUCUAGUUCCAUCCAUGUUGCUGCAAAGGCAUUAUUUUGUUCAUUUUUAUGGCCGAGUAUUAUUCCAGUGUUGUGUGUGUGUGUGUGAGUGUGUGUGUGUGUACCACAUCUUCCUAAUCCAGCAAUAUUCUAUUUUUAAGAUGCUCUCAGCAUAUAGUUUUCAGAAACACGAUCCCUGUUUUUUGUGACAUGCUUUGCACCGAUAAACCAAAAUCACUUAUCUAUGCUUAUGGAAGGAAAACAUGUAUUUAAAUCAAAACAGGUGACCAUUUUUUACCAUUAAAUUGACAAGCUGUCACUAACAUUAAAAAUUAGUAAACCCUUGCAGUGGAUUUUUGUAGACAUCUUGACCAGCUCCAACAAUUCUAUUGUCCUAUUCUAUAGGACCUAUUGCAAACCCUUCAUUCCAUAUUGUUCAUAAUUAUCCUAUGUCCAUAGCCAAAGCAUAAUUAAUACAAAUCAUUAUUUCAAUGUCACAGUAUCAAUUGGUAUAGAAACCAAAGGGAAGCUGAUUCAAACGGUAGUGUUUAGGGUCAAUGCAUGAAUCAUAAGCAUGUGAGAUCCUCUCUUAGAACAUCAUCCAGUGUAUUGGGAGCUUGAAACUUAACAAAUAACUUCAGAAUGUGUCUGUUGGUUUGGGAAUACCUGUUUGGAAUUAACUUCCUAGGGCAGAGUAAAUGAUAACUUCAGUUUAUCUAAGCCCGACAGCUGGGCAGAGAGGUACCAAUAAUCUCAUAAGGUAUUAUGGAUGCCUUCCUUAGCUAACUUGAUUAUACUGAUUAGAAGGAUAGAGGUUGAGCCUAUGCUCAUCACUUUAUUUGUCAGCCUGGCUAGGCUAUCAUACUCAGUUAUUUAAUCAACCGAUGAUUGAGAUGCUACUGUGAAGAUAUGUUGCAGGUAUGGUUAGCAUCUAAAAUCAACUGACUUUAAGCAUAUUAACCUCUGUAAUAAAGAUGGCCUCAUCUAGUCAGUUGAAGGUCUUAAGGGCAAAAAUUAAUGAAAGAGAGUGUCAAAACUUUAUACAGUUACUCUUCCUCCUAACUCUCCUCAGAGGGUCCUGUGGUGACCAGGGUGACUAUGUACUGGGUAAAAGGAAAUAAUCAGACCUUUCACAGAUUUCUGGACACUGACUCUGAGCUGACACUAAUUCCAGGAGACCUCAAACUUUACUGAAGUCCACAAGUCAAGUGUACAAGCUUAUGAAGGGUAGGUGAUCCAAGGAGUU